rnacentral:lncRNA from 1 species
GUAAAAUAUUUAUUACCCGUUAAAGCGAUUGAAGGCCACCCAUCCAUUGCCUUUUAGAAACCAGCAUAAAGAGUGAUAUCUUGAACUAACAAAGAUGGCUGGCACAGGCAGACCGACUGAUACGACAUUUCUGCAAUGCGGUUGUAACUCUGCUAGAGCUGUGGCAAUCCGGUGGAAACAUCCAGCAGCAAUUCAGAGGAAAAGCUCUUCACUGGAUCAUGAGAGAUCUGCACACAGGAACAAAGUCCCACCAUCCCAUACUAAAGGACAAAGUAGAGUCACGGCUAGAGUCCAGGCCUCAUCUGCUGCAGAAGCAAAAUCGGGAGGACAAAAUUCCAAACGUCUGGCUGCCCUUUCGAGGCCGUAACGAAUCCAUUGUAUCUACCACUGACCGCUUUUUAUCCUGAAUUUUCUGGUGAGAUCAGCGGAUUUAGCUGUUCCUUCUGGUUGGCUGUUCUGAAGCUGCGUGAGCGCUGCACAGGGGAAAGUGCAGUCAACUGCGGCUUUAUUUAUGAGUUUCUAUACAGCAUCUCUGUUUCAAGGUGAGGGAACAAAUACGUGCCUCAUGUUGGACGAUGAGGAAGCUUGCAUCAACAAUUCAUUUGCAAAGACCUGUAUGUUAGCUGCUUUGACAAGAAUGCCGUCACUAAUUAAAAUAGUGCUUUUAAUGACAAAUGAGCAGGAAUGUUCAUUAAAACCUGUUGCAGACUAAUUUAACAGAUUUCAUAAUCUAGUGACUAAGAAGAGAAGGAAGUGGUGUUGGAAUGUACCAGAUAUGAUUUAAUAGUGCAUUUAAUAAACAAGAAAAGUUCAAUAUGUAUAAUUUAAUU